rnacentral:tRNA from 1 species
GCAUCCGUCACUGUUCUGCAUAGGGUUUACCAUUUCUCUCAAUUCGGACUAUGGAUCAUGAGGUUGAGGGUUUGAAUCCUUCUGGGUGCACCA